UACGUAGGGGGCUAGCGUUGUCCGGAAUCAUUGGGCGUAAAGAGCGUGUAGGCGGCUCAGUAAGUCCGCUGUGAAAGCCCGGGGCUCAACCCCGGGAGGCGGGUGGAUACUGUCAAGCUCGAGUCCGGAAGAGGAGUGUGGAAUUCCUGGUGUAGCGGUGAAAUGCGCAGAUAUCAGGAGGAACACCAAUGGCGAAGGCAGCAGUCUGGGACGUGACUGACGCUGAGACGCGAAAGCGUGGGGAGCAAACAGG
rnacentral:rRNA from 1 species